ACUCAAAGGAAUAGACGGGGGCCCGCACAAGCGGUGGAGCAUGUGGUUUAAUUCGACGCAACGCGAAGAACCUUACCUGGGUUCGAACGGUGGAUGAAAGCCCCCAGAAACGGGGGCCCUCUUCGGACAUCUUCCGAGGUGCUGCAUGGCUGUCGUCAGCUCGUGUCGUGAGAUGUUGGGUUAAGUCCCGCAACGAGCGCAACCCUUGCUUUCAGUUACCAGCGGGUAAUGCCGGGGACUCUGAAAGGACUGCUGCGGUAACGCAGAGGAAGGUGGGGAUGACGUCAAGUCCUCAUGGCCCUUACGCCCAGGGCUACACACGUGCUACAAUGGGUCGGACAGAGAGUCGCAAGGCCGCAAGGUGGAGCUAAUCUCUAAACCGCCCCCCAGUUCGGAUUGGAGUCUGCAAUUCGACUCCAUGAAGCCGGAAUCGCUAGUAAUCGCGGAUCAGAACGCCGCGGUGAAUACGUUCCCGGGCCUUGUACACACCGCCCGU
rnacentral:rRNA from 1 species